UACGGGGGGAGCAAGCGUUGUUCGGAUUUACUGGGCGUAAAGGGCGCGUAGGCGGCCACCGCAAGUCGAUUGUGAAAUCUCCGGGCUUAACCCGGAAAGGUCAACCGAUACUGCGGGGCUAGAGUGCAGAAGGGGCAACUGGAAUUCUCGGUGUAGCGGUGAAAUGCGUAGAUAUCGAGAGGAACACCUGCGGCGAAGGCGGGUUGCUGGGCUGACACUGACGCUGAUGUGCGAAGGCUAGGGGAGCGAACGGG
rnacentral:rRNA from 1 species